UCGGGAGGAACCCCAUAGAGGAGCAGAACAGAGAGAUGCCCAUCGUUGGUGGCACUGGCGUCUUCAGGUUCGCCACCGGCUAUGCUAUAGCCAACACCGUCGAUCACCUUUCUACCUAUGAUCAUUAUGUGGUGGAGUACAAUAUCACUGUGCGCCAUCACUAAUGUCAUCUUCUACCACAUUUUUGUGGCUUUUUAUUGGAUUCAUCUUUCACAUCUCGCAUGCUUCUAUGAAAAAAAGUAUAUUUGUUUUUAGGAGUUUGAGUAAGUUAUUUGUAGUUCUUUUUCAUGGUUUCGGCUUCUCGUGGAUUAUUAGCAGGUUCUUUUUUGGGAGAAUGUUGAUAAAUUCCAGGUUUUAUUUUGUGGAUCAGUGGUAACCACCGUCUCUUUAUUACUGUUGCUCUACUUACUCAUUGGUUACUGGUGCAACAUCACUUACUCAGAAGAAAUAUCCAAUGCUUAUUCUGAGUUUUUUGGAUUCACUUUUGAACUUUCGGAGACUCAUUCACUUGACGAUCAUUUUAAUCCUUAUCCUGAUUUCAACAUUUGAUAACAUUUGAGCAAUGCUUUACAUCGGUUCUAGAAAUUAUUUUAUAGUCAUCCUACAUAGACGGAGAGAACAUGGUAAAAUAUCAAUUAAUUAUAUAUAAGACGAGUUAAACUAUCAGAUUAAUCCUAUUAUACGAACGAUUACUAAGUCAACUAAUAUAAUAUAGGAUUUAAUAUGUAUCGUAUGUGCGGUACUGCAAAUAAAAACAGAGCAUACGAGAAAAUCCUAAAAUCAAAGGCAUUUAGAUUUUUGUUUGCGAAAUUCAAAAUUGAAAUGUUACUGUUGCAAGUGCUCACCUGGCCAAAACUAACAAUUUGAAAUGUUAAGAACCUUAUUUUUUAUUAUUACUCAAAAAAUGUUGAAAAAGUCAUUCCGCCCCUGCUGUGCCUAGUUUUUCGGAGGUUGAAGAAGUGGUGCCGUUAGAAUCUGGAAUCGCAUCACCAAUGGUUGCUGGAACGUGGGUAGUGGCCGAUUGGGGCUGUUACCUUUUUCCCUAUAUAAACAAGGGUUCCCCUCCUUCAGGAAACGCAUCUCACUUUCACCUUCUUCAUCUUCUUCACACCUUCUUCUUCCUCCCACCUUCUUUUACUUUUCACUUUCUCUCAACUCACUUACUUUUAAUUAUCAUAAUUUUUCUGCGUUUUAUUUGGGUAUUACUCUUUUAAAGAGAAACUUGCUUGUUCUGAUCCUCGGAAAUUACCGGGAAGAUGCUGUUGUAUCCUGGGGGACUUGCGCAAUACACCGCGGAUAAGUUCAUACGGACAGUGAUUACUCAUGCCUCGGGAAACCAAUUUUGUUCGUUUUAAAGCCUAAAUUUUACUACAAUCGUAAGGACUUAUGGCUGAAAAUCUGAACAACAACGACAACAUUGCUCCGGGACCGUCAAAUGUUGUUUCCGCAACGCAAACCAUUUUUGCGAAACCAUUUCCGGAUGUCUCCAAAAUUGAAGUUUUCACCGGUUAGAACUUCCGACGUUGGCAAGAAUGUGUGUCCACCCUAUUGGACAUGUACGGAGUUGCUCUUGCACUUACAACUGUCAAACCCGACUCAACCACGACUACGAAGCAAGUUGAUGAUUGGAUCCAUGCGAAUAAGGUAUGUCGUCACACUUUAUUCAGUGUGUUAUCUAACGAUCUGUUCGAUGUUUAUGCUUCUUAUAAGAAUGCGAAAGAUAUUUGGGAUUCUCUUAUCCUCAAAUAUACUGCCGAAGACAUCGUCAGACAAAGGUUCGUAAUUGCAAACUACUACCGCUGGUUGAUGUUCGAAGGCAAAGACUUCAAAAUCCAGAUAAACGAAUAUCACAAGUUGAUUGAAGAUAUCAAAAUUGAAAGCAUAAACUUGUCGGAUGAAUUCGUGUCCAAACUCUUGAUCGAAAAGCUCUCGCAAUCUUGGACGGAUUAUAAACAACAACUGAAGCACAGACAGAAACAUAUGUCUCUAUCAGAUAUGAUCACCCACAUCAUCAUCGAAGACACAAACAGGAAGGAGUGCGUUGCUGCAAAGGCCAAAGCUUUGUCUGCCAAAGCAAACAUGAUAGAAGACAAACUAGCUCAAAAAAGGUACGAGAAAAAAUUUGAUCACAAAAAGAAACCUAAUAACAAAUUCUCUCGUCCCAGUGGAACUAACCCCACUUUCAAGAAAAAGGGUAAUUGCUUUGUUUGUGGAAAGUCAGGCCAUCAUGCACCUCAGUGCAGACAUAGGGCCAAAAACGACUAUCCUCCUAAGGCAAAUCUAGUCGAAGGGGAAGAUACUAUUGUGGCAGUCGUUUCACAAGUAAACCUUGUGACAAAUGUGAGCAAAUGAGUGGUAGACUCUAGGGCUACCCGACACAUCUGUGCAAAUAGAAAUGUGUUUACCUCCUACACAAGUGUGGGGGAUGGAGAAGAACAAGUAUAUCUCGGUGACUCCAGGACAACUCCUGUCCUAGGAAAAGGAAAAGUUCUUAUGAAGCUCACAUCUGGGAAAACUCUGGCUUUGAAUGAUGUGCUACAUGUGCCAUCAAUUAGAGUUAAUUUGGUCUCUGUGGCAUUGCUAAGUAAAGUUGGGGUUAAAGUGUCAUUUGAAUCUGACAAGAUUGUUAUGACAAAAAACAAUGUUUUUGUGGGAAAGAGAUAUUGUGAUCAAGGCCUUUUUGUAUUAAACAUUUCUGAAAUUAUGAAUGAAUCUAAAUCUUCUGCUUAUAUUGUUGACUCGUAUGAUAUAUGGCAUGCUAUAUUAGGAUAUGUGAAUUCUUCGUAUGUUAUAAAAUUGCAACGUCUAGGAUUAAUCAACAUGCAUGACAAACAAUGUAGUAAAUGUGAUGUAUGCGUAGAAUCUAAAAUAACGAAGAAAAUAUGUCACUCUGUAGAACGUCAAAUUGAAAUUCUUGGUUUAAUUCAUACCGACCUUGCUGAUUUAAAACAAAUCAUGUCUAGAGGUGGUAAAAAUUAUUUUGUAACCUUUAUAGAUGAUUUUUCUAGAUACACCAAAGUGUAUGUAAUUAAACAUAAGGAUGAAGCUUUUGACAUGUUUUUAACUUAUAAAGCGGAAGUAGAAAAUCAACUGAAUAAGAAAAUUAAGAGAAUUAGGUCAGAUAGAGGUGGUGAAUAUGUUUUAUUUAAUGAUUAUUGUGUAAAAGAAGGUAUUAUUCAUGAAGUAACCCCACCAUAUUCACCUGAGUCUAAUGGAGUAGCUGAAAGGAAAAAUAGGACUCUUAAAGAAAUGAUGAAUGUCAUGCUUAUUAGUUCUAAUGCUCCUGAUAAUUUAUGGGGUGAAUCUUUGUUUACUGCGUGUUUUUUACAAAAUAGGAUGCCACAUAGGAAAACUGGUAAAACACCCUAUGAGUUUUGGAAAGGUUAUCAACCUAACCUGAAAUACCUAAGAGUGUGGGGGUGUUUAGCUAAAGUGAUGUUACCUGAUCCUAAGAAAAGGAAAAUAGGCUCUAAAACAUCUAAUUGUAUGUUCUUAGGAUAUGCAGAACAUAGUGUUGCCUAUAGGUUUCUAGUCCUUAAUAGUGAUAUAAUUGAACGUAACACUAUAGUAGAGACGAAAAACGCUGAGUUCUUUGAACACAUCUUUCCUUUAAAGAGUAGUGGUACAUCUGAACAACCUAUAGAUAGUGCUAGUGAUACCUUGAGUGAGGAUGUUAGGAGAAGUAAAAGACAGAUAAAGGAAACAUCUUUUGGAGAUGACUUUUAUACUUAUUUAGUUGAGAAUGAUCCAAUAAGUUUUGUAGAAGCUAUUAGUGCUCCUGAUGCUAAACAUUGGGAUAAGGCCAUUAAAACUGAGCUUGAUUCAAUUAAGAAAAAUAAUACAUGGACCUUAGUAGAUCUGCCUAAAGGAGCAAAGCCCAUUGGUUGUAAGUGGAUCUUUAAGAAGAAGUACCAUCCUGAUGGAUCCGUAGAGAAAUAUAAGGCAAGAUUAGUUGCUAAAGGUUUUACUCAAAAACAUAACAUAGAUUACCUUGAUACUUUUGCACCUAUUACUAGGAUUUCCUCUAUCCGUGUAUUGCUAGCCUUAGCAUCUAUCCAUAAGUUAGUAAUUCACUAAAUGGAUGUUAAAACAACUUUUCUGAAUGGUGAAUUAGAAGAGGAAAUUUAUAUGACUCAACCUGAAGGAUGUGUAGUUCCAGGUCAAAAGGAAAAAGUAUGCAAACUUUUAAAAUCUUUGUAUGGUUUGAAACAAGCACCAAAACAAUGGCAUGAAAAACUUGAUAAUGUUUUACUUUGUGAAGGUUUUUCUACCAAUGAUGUUGAUAAAUGUUGUAUUCUAGAUCUGAAAAUGGUGAAUAUGUCAUUAUAUGUUUGUAUGUGGAUGACAUGCUAAUCUUUGGUACAUGCAAUGAUAUAGUUUUUCAAACAAAAUUGUUUCUUGGAUCUAAGUUUGAGAUGAAAGACAUGGGUGAAGCAAGUGUGAUUUUAGGAGUUAAAAUCAUAAGAAAGGGAGAUAGUAUAUUACUAUCCCAAGAAAAAUACACUGAAAAACUUCUAAAGAAGUUUGGUUACUAUGACUUUAAGUCAGUGAGCACCCCUUAUGAUGCUAAACCCAAAUUAAAGAAGAACAGAGGAGAAUCUAUUUCUCAAACUCAGUAUGCCCAGAUAAUUGGGAGCUUAUUGCAUUUAAUGAGUUUUUCUAGACUAGAUAUUGCUUAUGCAGUAGGUAGAUUGAGUAGAUACACUCAAUGUCCUAGUCAGGAUCAUUGGGAUGCACUUGCGAGACUCAUGAAAUACUUGAGAGGUACAAUGGAUUAUGCCAUUGAAUAUAGUGGAUUUCCCGCUGUGCUAGAAGGGUACAGUGAUGUUAACUGGAUCUCUGAUUCAGAUGAGACAAAAUCCACUAGUGGUUAUGUAUUUACACUUGGGGGUGGUGCAGUUACAUGGAGAUCAGUCAGGCAAACUAUUAUUGCAAGAUCAACAAUGGAAUCUGAGUUUGUUACUCUAGAAAUGGCUGGUAGUGAAGCUGAGUGGUUGAAAAACUUCUUAGCAAACAUUCCUUUAGGAAUGAAACCAACCCCAUCUGUAUCAAUGCAUUGUGAUUGCCAAUCGGCAAUAGCUAUAGCUAAAAAUAAAAGCUACAAUGGAAAGAAUAGACAUAUACAAUUGAGACAUAAUUUGGUGAAACAACUGUUAAAGAGUGGAACGAUUUCUAUUGACUAUGUCAAGUCAGAAUGGAAUUUGGCAGAUCCUCUGACUAAACCCCUAGGGAGAAAAAUGAUUUUAGAAACAUCGAGGGGAAUGGGACUUAAGUCACUUACAAACAAACAAGUGAUGGAAACCCAACCUUUGUGAUUGGAGAUCCCAUGAAUAAGGUUCAUAUGGGUAAAAUCAAGUCACUUGUUAGUUCUGCUAGCACUGAUGUUGAUUUUAAAUCAAUUCUGUCCAUUCCUAUGGUGUGUGUGAAAGUGCUAGUUACUGCAUUAUCGAGAGGAUAAACUUUGUAGUUAAAAUUCAGAGGUAAAAGAGUUUUAAUGAUUUUCAUAUCCCUUAUGGGUGGUGUAUGAUUUGCAGCAUACACUUGAUGAAAUCACCUAUAUGAGUGUCAAGUGGGGCCGCUUGCAUGAGAUCUUGGCAAGAUCUCUAUAGCACUCAUGAAUACCGGGCAUGCGCAUGGCCUAGUAGCGCAACACAACAAUAACAACAAGUAAUGUGGGGGUGUAUUAUGAUUGAUAAACCUCUUACACAUACUAACUGUCUUGGUUCAUAUAGCUUGUUAUACCAACUACACUAUGUGUUACGUUCAUUAAUCUAAGACUGGUUCAUAUAGCUUGCUAUACCAGAUCUUAUGCAUUAUAUCUUACAUGAACCCAGAAUAUUCUUUUUGUUUCAAUAUCUCUAUGUUUUAUCUUUUGCAAUAUGUGGGGGAUUGUUGUAAAACGAAGUUGCGGUAUUGCAAAUAAAAACAGGGCAUGCGAGAAAACCCUAAAAUCAAACACAUUGAGAUUUUUGUUGCGAAAUCCAAAACUGAAAUGCUUCACCUGGUCUUUCGGAAUCGUUGCUGCAGUGGAGAAGUCGUUUCGCCCCUGCUGUGCCUGGUUUUUCGGAGGUUGAAGAAGUGGUGUCGUUAGAACCUGGAAUCGCGCCACCAAUGGCUACUGGAACGUGGGUAGUGGCCGUUUGGGGCUGUUACCUUUUUGCCUAUAUAAACAAGGGUUCCCCUCCUUCAGGAAACGCAUCUCACUUUCACCUUCUUCAUCUUCUUCACACCUUCUUCUUCCUCCCACCUUCUUUUACAUUUCACUUUCUCUCUCCUCACUUACUUUUAAUUAUUAUAAUAUUUCUGGGUUCUACUUGGGUAUUACUCUUUUAAAGAGAAACUUGCUAGUUCUGAUCCUCGGAAAUUACCGGGAAGAUGUUGUUGUAUCCGGGGGGGACUUGCGCAAUACACCGCAGAUAAGUUCUUACGGACAGUGAUUACUCACGCCUCGGGAAACCAAUUUUGUUCGUUUUAAAGCCUAAAAUUUACUACAUAUAUUACACCGAUUAAAUAACCAGUGUAAUAUAUGUCUUACACACUAUUCGUAUUAAACCUCAUAUAUUACAUUAUAUAUAUAUAUAUAUAUAUAUAUAUAUAUAUAUAUAUAUAUAUAUCAUCCAAGUUUUAAUAUAAUCAUAGAUUCACCUUACAUUUCAUAUAUGUAGUUCAAGAUCUUACACACUUAAUUUUCCUUAAGUGAUAGGGUGUGUGUAAGCAAGUCUUCCUCAUACAUUUCUAGAACUUUUCAUAAGAUUUUUUGGGAAUUCAACCAUCAAACCCUAUACGGGUAAUAUCUAUUUUUAACAGAACAAAGAGAAGAAAAAAUGAGUUUGAAUCUUUGAUAGGUAUUUACAUAACUUAUCCAAAUUAAGAAUUUGAUGGGUUCAACUUGACGAGUCUUUUGGAUACUUGAAAAUCCAAGAUGCAUAAGAGAACUAGUUGUUCACAACAAUCCAAUCCCAGAAGCAUGUGAUCAUUCAAUGUGGUUUGUUCGCCCUCAUAAUAUUGCUUAGAUAGAAAUCUGCAAAUAAUCCACAGCCAGCAAACAAAGAGCAUGCACCCAUCAUUGGAAUGUUUCAUAUGAAUUGUCAUAAAAAUACAUUUAAUUAGAAUUUCAUGCAUUGGUUAUUUUGAUCUUUAUUCACAAAAAAUGUGGUUUAGUAAUUGUUUGUGACCAUUAUAGAGAUGGAGCUUUUCUCUUCACUACAAGAAAAUCAACAAAUAGAAAUCAAUUUUAGAGACAAAAAAUAAUUAAUUGCUAUAAUAACUAAAUUAGAGAUCAUUUUAGAGACUAAAACAAAAUUUGGUUUCUAUUAUUUUUAAAUGGUUUCUAAAUUGGUAUCUAAUUAGCAACCAAGAUUUUUGCUACGAAAUUUAAAAUCUAAAUAAUUGGUAGUCAAAACAUUGGUAGCUAACUAGACACCAAUUUAGAAACUAUUUAACAAUAGAAACUAUUUUUUUUUUAAUUUCUAAAAUUGUCUCUAAUUUAGUCACUAUAACAACUAUUUUUUUUGUCUUUCUAAUAUUAGUUUAUAUUUCAUGAUUUUCUUGUAGUGUUUCAAAUUGCACAUCUUUAUGUAUGAUUUUGAGUAGUUUAUCUAUCUUCACCUCGUGAUUUUAAAGAUGAAUUAGUUUUUCUUUUUAAUUUGUUAAUAAAUAAAUCUUUAUGAGCAAUUAAGAGAAAAAUAAAGGAUGAGAACGAGAAAACAUUGUUUAUUUUUUUCUUAUUAUAAUAAAAUAAAAUAAAAAUAUUAUUAUAAUAAUAAUAAUUAUGAACACAAACAAAUAUUGCUAAAGUUUAUUUUGGGAUUUUAAAAAAAAUCCAUAAAAAUAUAUAAAACUUCUAUUAAUUUUAUAAUUUUAUUGUGGGUAGUUAAUUCACUUUGAAAAAAGAAAAAAAAAUACAUGAAUUCUUUUUAAAGUAUAAAGGAAAAAAUAAUUAUUAUUUAUGCAAAAGAAGUAAUUACAAAAAGAAUCUCUUUAUUUUUGUAUAGAUUAAUAUUUAAAACUAAUAUUUAAAAUUAAAAAUUUCUAGAUAUAGAGACCUAAAGGUGUAUUAUAUUUAAUUUUAUCAAAAGAGAUUAUUAGCUGAAAGAUGAUUAUAGAUUCUUUUAUAUAUGUUCACAAAGUGCAAUGUUUUAUUUGUAAGCUUAUAGAUAAUAUUUCAGUUAAUUAGAGUUAGCAAUAUAAUUUGCUGAUCAUUAAAUAAUUUUGUGUUGAGUCAAACCGAUUACUAUUUUAAAUUGGCUAUAAGCCUUUUUAUGUGACUCUAAUUAUUUAAAAAAUAAUUUAAAUAAAAAAUAAAUAUAUUUUUUAAGUUUAAAUUAUAUUAAUAAAUCUAAUUUUAAUUUUACGUAUAAUUAUUUAAUACAUAAAUGAUAUUACACACAAAAUAUUUUUAAUAUUUUAAAAAAUAUAAUUAUUAUUUUAUAAAAAAAUUCGAUCCAUAAGUAUAUUGAUAAACUAAUCUAAGCCCAUUUAAAUUGUAGCAUAAGUAAUUUGGUAGGAAAAUGACCCAUUGCUCCCUUCAAUGCUUAGUUCAAUCAAGUGGACUAUCACUUUUAACCAAUAAUGUUUAGGCAACUUCUUCCUGCACCUCUACAAAUUUCUUCCUGCACCCCCUCACUUUGUGAAAAGACUGUUUUGCUCCUUUAAGAAAAAUACUUCCGGAUUGUUUUUUCCGAAAUAUUUCCAAAAACAUCUUUUUUGAAAUAUGUUUUAUGAAUUCCAGAUUUAUAAAUCGGAAAUAAAAAUAUUAUUCCAAAAAAAAUGUUUCCGAAUGAUUUUUUGUCUUUCAGAUUUUUUAUUUUGGAAAUAUAUUCUUUGUUUAUGGAACCAGUAUUUCGGAAACACCUAAAACUGUAAAAGGUAAAUUUUGGUAUUUUUAAAGAAUGUAGGGGUGCAGGAAGAAAAGUGUAGAGAGGAAGAAACACCCUAAUGACCUAUUCAAGUGCUUUUGAAAUGUAAAAGGUUACCCAAUAUGUUGAGGCUUGAGGUCUUAUUGGAUAGAAUUCCUUUUAAUCUAUUAUUUUUUACUGAAUAGUAAUUGUUUUAAAUUUUAGUAUAUAUAGAUUUAAGGUAUAUUAUAAAAAGUCUUUUGUACCUUAAUUUUUUAUAUAAACACUAAUUAUUAUUAUUAUUAUUAUUAUUCCAAGAAUAUUUAACUUAAGUAUCAUAUUAAUUAGAUACUUUUAGAUGAGAAUUAGAAUAUCUUCACUUUUUUUAAGAAUUAUUAUUCAUAUUUAAGAAUAGCAAGGGGUCGGGCACACACAUAGAAAUUAUUCAUUACUCGUCUUGGAUACCUAUUUAAAGAUAUCCACGAAUUUUAAAAAAAAAUAUUUUAUAGAUUUUUAAAAUCAAAUCCAAAUAUUACAACAAAAAAUAUAAACUCAAAUGACAAAUAAAAGUUAAAACAUAAGUCAAAAUUAAUAGUAGUUAAUAUACUUUUCUUUUUCAGAGAAAACUCUAGUUAUAAAAAGAAAACUCUAGUUAUAGUGUUUGGUUUAUGUGUUUUGACUUUUAUGGGUUGAAUCAGUUGUUAAUUGAUGUGUAUGGUAGUUCCUUUAUAUUUGUGGUAUAUUUUUUAGUUUAUUUCGUUUUGUCUGAUAAAUUAGAGAUAUUUUUCAUAUAUUUCAGAAUGUGGCGCAAUUAUGUUGUUGUUGCACAUUUAUUUUCUCUAUUCUUAUUGUUGUUUAACUUGGAUGUCCGGUUACUGAGAUCGAAACAGACUCGUCUAGUAUGUAGCCUUACACUUAAAACAUACAUCCAAAUAGAAGUAAUUUAAAAACAACUUAAAAACAGUUAUAAUAAAAGUGGCACUCUACAAUUUAUGUUUUCCUCUUCAAUAUGUUGAUUUUAACCACUUAAUUCCUGAAACAAAUAAUAUACAAAUUAAAGUCAUGAACAAAUAACAUAAUAAUACUAUUAGUGAUUCUUGUAGGAACGGGGCAGGGUAUCUAAUUUAUAGAGCCAUAAUGAAAAGUAUGUUAGUGACUGGGUGGUGGAAGGAACAUGAAGCAAUGCUGUCAUGGGCAUAACAGGUCAAUGUUUAUGCGUGGCAGCAGUAGAGCUCACACUUUGGUACACAACCGACUAAUUUUGCCACACCAUGCCAAAUAAAAAAGGGGUUUAACUACCGUUUAGACCACCUCUAUGCAAAUGUCCACACCAACCACAGAGCAUUUAUGUCUAUAUGGUUGUCAAUUUCUCUACCACAUAAUAAUACUAUUAGUAAAAUUAGAAUGAAAUAUUAAAAAAAUAGUAAGAUCAUCAUCAAUUAUUUUUCUAUUCUGGAACGAAUUGGUAUUGAAAGAACUAUUGUCAUCCUUAUCGGUCGAUCAAUUAUCUUUUGCCUCCUCUCCUUUUAUUGUUUCCUAUUCCUUCACAAACUCUCAGUUCAGAUAGUAUCUGCAAAAGACACUCUGACACUCAAGUGAGAUCUCGGUAUUUGAUGUUCGAUGUAAGUAAUGUGUGAUGAUGACAUACAUUUUUCUCGAAACCCGUGACUAUUUUAUAUGAUUAUUAUGGACCCUUUGUUAUUGGGUCAAAUUAGGGUUUUAGAUCAUAAUUAAAAGCAUAUUAUCUAAUGCUUAAUCACUAUUUGAUCAUGUUAACCUUCUAUUAGGCAUAACGAAUAUGGUUAUGUCGGUCGGCGACGCUGAGAUCUCCACCCUCCAUAUCCGAUAUUGACCGGUACACAUGUUAUUAUAUUAAGCUUUUAUCUUUUCCACUAACAAACCUUUUAUACCAUCACUUGUCCAUUUGUUGACGUUUAGUCCUAGUUUUAAGUAUUUCAAUAACUAUUGAUAUAUGGUCUUAGUAGCAUUUCAAAUUGUUCAAAUGUGGAUAUAGUUUUUAAAUUUAUGGUGCUCAAGGCUAAGUUUGAUUGAGAUAUAAGCAUGUCUAUGCAUUUUUUUAUAUAUGAGAAGCUAAUUCAUUGACAUUCAAUUACAAUGUCAAAUAUAGUUACAUGAUAAAAUCACUCAUGUGAAUGAUAUAAGCAAGACUCUUUGAGUUGUACAUUACACUUACUAUAUACAUAAUGAAUAUUGGAUAUUAACUAUCUUUCACUUUUGAGUCUUUAGAUAUUAAAAAGAACCUUGAGAAAUUGUGUCCAUUUUUCUUUUGCUUAAUUAUUAAAAUUCACAUCUCCAUAUGAAAUCACAGCAACUUCAUGAUAACUGGAUGCAAUAUUAGAGCUUUACACUUCAAAUAGAAGAUGUUAAAUUUCUUAUUCCAUUCCAUGUUCAUAGAAAUGAUACAGCCACACAUUGUACUCAACAACAGCAUUUCCAGAUGUAGAAUUAGACCACACAGUCUUUGCCAGUGCAUAGCCCCGAGCAAACCUGAAAGCACCACUGCCUCCAACAAUUGGCAUUUCUCUGAUCUCAUCCAACACACCAUUCCUCCCAACCAUGCUCACACUACUCCCUUCAUAAGCACCCUCACUGAACAAGAAAUUCAUCACCAUCUGAAAUCCAAGAUCAUGCUGAGAAGCCAAAGCAUAAGUUCCCUGAGCCCUUCCAACCUCUUUUGAACUCAACUCUGACCCUUCAGUCAAAGGGCUGUCCACCAUGACAGUGGCUCCAAAUCCACCAAGAGACUGCCUUGGUGGAUCUAUGAUUGUUAUACAUGUUGGCUCUUCACCAUCGAAGAUGUCAUGGAAAUAAUAAUGCAGAUGUGUGAAUCUCUCCACUCUCUCUGUGGGUAAGAUUAUGCGGGAUUCUUCUAUAAACUUUCCUUGGAUUGCUAUUAUUCUGUGACUACACACCACAAACAACAAUCCAAACACACUAAUCAUUUUAGGUUUAGGGUUUAUGAGGUGUUGGAUGUGUAGGAGCUUGUGUUGUGUUUGGUUCACUUCACUUAUAAAAAAAAAGUAUAUCAUUUCUUUAUUACCCACGCAUUUCUCGAGGAAAGUUAUAUCGGUGGUCUUUGUAUUUUUAUGUAUAUUUUAAUACACGUGUGUAGAACUUGAAUGUGACGUUUUGCAAGUGGGAAAUGCAUGGGUAAUAAAGAAUUGAAAUAAAAUCUGAAAUGGUGUAUCUUCUUCUAUAAGGGAAGAGUUUAUCCAAACACAACCCAUCUUCCACGUCAAACACCUAAGAACAAUGAUUGUUACACUUAGAUUCUUGUUCCUUCUCUCUCUCGCUCUCUUCUCCACACUCCCAACCCAUCUUCAUGCAUCAUUCUCUCACCAAUCCCACAUCGAACUUCCAUCACAGACCCACCAAUCUUGGCAGAAGCAGACCCACAUCCACUUCUUCUACCAUGACCUUCGAACCGCCGACAACCCCACCAUCGUGCAGAUCAUCGACACCCCCAAGAACGUUCCCUACGGCUUCGGCACCACUUUCGUCGUGGACAACCCCAUGACGGAAGGCCCGGAGCUGAGCUCGAAGCCCGUUGGGAGGGCCCAGGGGAUCUUUGGCCUGGCCUCUCUCAACGACCUGGGCGCGUUCAUGCUCAUCAACUUCGCUUUCAUGCAAGGGGACUACGCUGGAAGCUCAUUGAGCAUGCUCGGGAGGAACCCCAUAGCGGAGCUGAACAAAGAGAUGCCCAUCGUUGGUGGCACUGGCGUCUUCAGGUUCGCCACCGGCUAUGCUAUAGCCAACGAUCUCCAACAGCUUUCUACCCCUGAGCAUGUUGUGGUGGAGUACAAUGUCACUGUUCGCCAUUCAUCACUAAUGUAGUCUAAGAAGCAAUUUAUUUGAAAGUGUUUCUUCCUUUUACGUGUCUCUUCCUUCUUUUCUUUCUGUCUUUCUUCCCUUUAAACACGUAUUCUGUUAUUGUGUAUACACGUAUUCCUCUCUGUAGUUUUUGCUACCUUCCACAUACUUGGUUCAUCUUUAUAUAUCUUGAAGUUCAUGGAAAUAUUCCAAUAUCUACCACAUUUUUUGUGGGUUUUUUGGAUUCAUCUUUCACAUUUCGCAUGCAUCUACGUUUCAUCUAGAAAAAAGAGAGUAGAAUUUCUUUUAGGAGUUUGAGUAAGUUAUUUGUAGUUCUUUUUAAUGGUUUCGGUUUCUCAGGGUUUAUUGGCAGGUUCUUUUUCGGAGAAUGUUGACAAACUCCAUGUUUUUAUUUUGUGGAUCAGUGGUAACCACCAUCUUUUUAUUACUGGUGCUGUACUUACUCAUUGGUCUGGAGCAGUGUUGUCAAACUCGUAACUCGGAGGUGGAUUGGAGAGGGAAAAAAAACUCGUAACUCGGGGAUCGUAACUCGACUCGGAAGAGUUACUAUUCGAGUUACUAUACAUAAGAUAAUUAAAAAUACAUUCAUAAUUCAUGAAAUGGUUGCAAUACAUAACAUAAUUUAACAUAGAUUCAUAAUUCAUAAAACGGUUCAAAUACAUAACAUAAUUAAAAGAAAGUAGAUUCAAGAUAAUGUUUAAUACAAAUAAACUAUCCAACAAAAUCAUUCGCAUUCAUCAUAGGAUAAUCAUCUUCAUCCUCCAAAAAAUCUUCAUUUUCAUUAGCAUCAAUUGGAGGAACUUCCAAAUCAUUAUCAUCAUCAAUUGGAGGAACGUCAAUUGUUGCUCCUCUACUAGCUCCAACUUCAAGUAAUAUUUCUUCAUCUAAACCAUGUAAUGUUUCAUUUUCCUCCACAGUCCAUUCAUCAUCAGAAGAAAGAUCAUCAACCGUAUAUUCUUUUGUCUUUCUAACAUCUUUCUUCUUCGUCAAUCUUGAAUUAGUCAUCACAAACACCACAUCGUUCAUAGUCAUUUGGUGUAAACGAUUUCUUUUCUUAGUGUGAACCUAAAUAAUUAUAAAAGUAGUUAACACAUCAUAUGAUCAUCUAAAAAAUAAUUAUGAAAUCACAGCCAGAUGAACUAAAUUCUUACCCUUUCAAAAGCACUCCAAUUACGCUCACAGCCAGAUGAACUACAAGUCAAACUCAAUACUCUAAUUGCAAAUCUUUGUAGUUCUGGAUGUUCAUCACCAUAUGAUUCCCACCAUUGUGAUGGAGUUUUGGUCUUGAGUCCAAGUUGAGCUAAGGGAGUACCAUACAAUCCAGACUUGCUCUUGAAACUCUCUAAUUGAAAAUCAAUUUUACUCAUCACAUCAAGGUCUCUCACCAACCUCUCCAAACAUUCAUACAUUCCACGUUUCACCUCAUAAUCAACUUUAAAGUCAGGAUGAUAGUGUAACAUGGGAUUAAGAUAAUAGCCCGCAGCAUGCAACGGCCUAUGCAAUUGGUUGUCCCAUCUCCGAUCAAUGAUUUCCCAAAAGGGAGUGUAGCUAAAUAAGAUAAAAACAAAUAAAUAAAUCUCCAAAACAAGUUUGUAUAUCUAAUUUAGAAAUCAAAUAUAGGUAAAUUACCUUUUACUAACUCCAUUGAAGAGAUUUUGUAUCUUCUCCUUUGCCCUAUCCANNNNNNNNNNNNNNNNNNNNNNNNNNNNNNNNNNNNNNNNNNNNNNNNNNNNNNNNNNNNNNNNNNNNNNNNNNNNNNNNNNNNNNNNNNNNNNNNNNNNCUCUUCAUAAAUAAAUCCCAUGGCUGGUUUCUCAUCUGAAUCAACCAUGCGCAGCACUUUAAUCAGGGGAAGAGCACCCCUCAAGCAAUUUAAAAUGCUUUUCCAAAAUCCCUUGUCCAUUAUCAGAUUUUCCACCAACCCUCCAUCUCUAGUUUUUGCAAAUUGACUAGAUUGCCACUCUGAGGAUGUGAACAUCUUAAUAAGUGAUCCUCUAUUAUCAUUCAAGCAUCCUAAAGUCAGAUAAGAGGUGGCAAAGCGAGUAUUGGCUGGUCUUAUCAAAUCUUUUCCUUCACUAUAUUUGUGCAACAAGGAGAUAAGACCAGUUCUGGAGUAGAUGUAGGUUGUAAUCUUCUUCCCAUUGGCGAUUGUGUCGUGAUGGAGUGGGAUUUUCUUUUCAAAAUCUUCCAACAUUAGAUCAAUGCAAUGGGCUGCACAAGGAGUCCAAUACAACUUUUUCCUCUUUUGCAUUAACAACUCCCCAGCUGCUUUAUAAUUUGCUGCAUUGUCCGUUACAAUUUGGAUGACAUCUUCUUCCCCAACCUCUUCAACAAUAUCAUCCACCAUUUUGAAGAUUUUGUCAGUUGUCUUGCAUAUAUCAGAUGCAUCAAUAGACUUCAAAAAGACCGUUCCCCUUGGACUAUUUACCAAAAAAUUCAGUAUAGUCCUCCUCUUCCUAUCGGUCCAACCAUCUGUCAUUAUUGUACAUCCAUAUUUUUUCCAGAAAAGUUUAUGUUCUUCUACAAUCAGAUUUGUCUUCUCAACCUCUUGCUUCAAGUAUUUCACUCUUAUUUCAUAAUAGGAUGGUGGCUUUAAUCCGGGACUAUGUCUACCAAUUAACUCAACCAUCCUCUUAAAUUCUUCACUCUUUGCUACAUUAAAAGGGAUAGCAUUAUUGUAGAAAAACCGAGCAAUCUCUUGACAUGCAUCUUCUCUAUCAUUCUUCUUGAAAAUGGCAUUAAUAGUACUUUGAGAUCCUUUUCUCUUGAAAAUAUUUGAUGAGUUCCCAAUCUCUUCUUCAAUUGAUCUUUUUAUACCACUUUCUGUCUGUCCCACUGAACUCUCUUCUCUAGAGAUUGACUUCUUCAAAAAAUUUUGCUGCAGAUUAACAACAGUAUCCAUCAUUGAUUUUUUAACAUCUUCAGGCACUGAUACACAUGCCCCCACAUCCUUUGAAGUCCCGGCUAAAUGAUGUUUUAAUUUGUAAACCCCUCAUGUGAGUACUUUAUCACAGUAUUUACACCUUAGGUUCCUUGUUUUUCCAUCAACAGACACACAGUGCUUCCAAGCUGAAUCAGUUCUUCCACUAGCCAUUAUAAAUGAUCACCAAAAAUUAACGAAAGGCAGUGGCAGAGAGAAAGGCAGUGGCGGAGCGAUCGCGAAGCGGAGAGAGCACGAAGGCGGAGCGAUCGCGAAGCAGAGAGAGCACGAAAGCGGAGCGUUCGCGGUGGUGCGCGAAGGCGGCGGCGGCGCAACGCAACGUUCGCGAUGGUUCGCGAAGGCGACGGCGACGGCGACGAGCAAGAGUGUGCGCGGUGGUACGCAGUGGUGCGCGAAGGCGGCGUCAACGAGAAGAGCUGCGGCGACAAGCACAAUCAGCGACACAAGUUAAGAAAAAUUAGGGUUUCGUUUCAGAUUAGGGUUUCAGUUUUUAAAAUUAGGGUUUUAUUAAUUUAGGGUUUUCUAUUUGGGUCGCGUCAUGGAUCGCUGGGGCCCAUGAAUCGUCCGAUCCAGCCCUUGGAUCGCUGGAUCGCUCCGAUCCAGAGAUGGUCCGAUCCCAUCUCCGAUCUGACGCGAUUUUGCCUGGAAAGAUCGUAAACUCGGAAGAUCGGCGAGUUAACUCGCGAUCUUGACAACACUGGUCUGGAGCACCAGUGUAAAAUGUGUCAAUUUUUUUAUAAAUUUAAUAAAAUGUACUUUUUCCCAAAUUUAUAAACUAUUAAAUAUAAUAAAACUAGAAAUUGUAUAAUUUAAAUAUAAUGAAAAUGUACAUGAGAAAGUUACAAAUCAUUGUAUGUUUUGAUUCUAAAUUUGUAGAAAGUAGCAGGUCCAUUUCUGAUGGAUUUGUUCAAGACUUUGUGUGCUUAGUGGCUCGGAAUCUUCAAAAGCUGAGAAAUGGAAGAGUAUAUUAGUGUUUAUACUAACAAAUAUGCAUAUAUAAAUGAGAUGUUAGAGCAUUUAAAUCACAUAAUACCUGCUACCAAGAGUCUAUAAUCCUCACAAGUGCUAUGGUCCACAUCCAUGCAUCACAUAAUAACUACAUUCAAAGUUUUCUUAUUGCUUAUUGUACUAUUAUGAAAUAUAAGUAACACUUAAUUUAAUUGAACUAAAAAAAGUAAAACUUAAUAGUUUUAAUGAAGAAGUGAAUAUAUACCUUAGGAUAGAUCCAACGUAAAUUUUGUGACAAUGAAGUGAAUCUACCCCUAUGACACUAAAUACAUUGAUUGCACUAAAAAGAGAAAAAUCAUUAGUAAUUCAUAAUAAAUUAUAUAAUUUACAGUAACAUACCUUUUUACUACAAUCUUCAUAUCUUGACUUGACUUCCUAUGCGGUGAACAAACAUAUUGUGAUAGAUUUUUUUAUGGAGAUUGAAGGUCGGAACCCAAUAACCCUUGGUGCAUUUUACAAUAACCCUUUUUGCUUACCACUCCACCGCAAGUCAUUUGGUAUUUUUUUUAAAAAGACUUUUGGUUUAGUUAUAUUUAGUUGAAAUGUAAUUUUAUUUGUCACACAUGCAUAUAUUUAGUUUUUAUUGUUGUGUAGAAUUUGUCUCUUCCUUUUGCCAUUUAUAUUCAAAGAGGUAGGUUUAAGAAUGUCAUUUUGCAUGGUUCAAACAAACAAGUCAAAUGCAAAGUUCUUAUAAGAAACGUUCUUAAAAAACUUGUCAACUUUGGACAUGAAACACUCACUUCAGGAAGAAGAUCAACAUAUUUUUUAAACAUGAUGACCACCCAUGUCAACACAUUAGGAUCAUCGUUAUGAAAAUGAUAUGAAUAAAUGUGUAUCGUAAUAGUUUUGGGAUUCAAGACUAUAUUUUAAAUCUUGAUAAAAUCAGACAGAUUUUUUAAUUUUAUUUGAAUUUUAUAUGGGCAAUCAUAUAGGUUGCUUAAACAUGGUUAAUAUUUAUGUCUAUUAUAUUCUUGUUUUCUCUUUGUUUUUUUAUGAACUUAUUUAUUUUGCAAGAAAACCCAAAAGCAUAAAAAGAUAACCACCUCACAGUGAUUUUAAUUCUUUUCUUAUCAUGAAUUUUAUACAUAUUGCAUUAUCUGAUUACAACUUAAUGUGUUGCAUAUUUAUAUGUACUUAACACUCUAUAGUGUUCAUAUAAAAUUCCUUCUAUUGUUGGUAUAACAUCAAGUAUUAUUUAUAUAUACUAAUUCUUAACACUUAAAUAUAGUUCAUUGAGUACUUAUUAUCACGUUAGUAUUCUAUAUUUUGUACUAAUUAUUUAACAUAUGAUUAGUAUUCUUUAUUUUGAACUAUUUUUUUAACAUAUCAUUACGAUUAUAUUUUUCCUAUGUACUGUUGUUAUCUUUUUGUGUUUUUUAUCACAUUAUUAUUCUUUACUUUGUAGUAAUUUUUUAACAUGUGAUUAGGAUUAUAUAUUUCUGUAUAUACUGUGUUAUUGCUAAUGUGUUGAUAUAAUUUGAUAUACUCAACACAAAAUAUUGUUUCGCAGUAGAAACACACAUAACAAUUUAUAUUGAUUUUCUAACAUUUAUAUUUUCUUAUAACACUUGGAACAUCAUUCAAUGAUUUAGUAUUUUGUUUUUAAACGUGUGUGCAGGAAAGAAAACGGUAUCCAGAGAACAAUAUAAGUUACUACAGUUGGAGGCUAAAAGAAUUAUUCAUAAUUUUAUUGUGUAUAUGUUGUAUAAACUUAUUUAUAUACAAAUCAUAUAAGAUAAAAAUUAUCUCUUUGUUGCAAAAAUUGUUAUUAUUCAAACAUUCCAAUGGUUGUUAAGAAAAUCGUGUUUAUGAAUUUUAAUAAACAAUAUUUAAAAGUUAACUGUCUUUUGAACAAUUUUAAAAUGAAACUUUAAUAAUAAUUAUAUUAAAUAAAUACACCAAAUCGUAUCCUAAUAAUAAUAUGCAAAAAAAGCAAGAUCGUGUCAUAAUAAUAAUAAUAUGGAAGGAAAUUUUAUGAUUAAAAGAAAACAACCAUUGACAAUAACAUUAAAUUAAAUUUAUGGAUCAUUUACUUAUACACAACUUAAAAAAAAAAAGACUUUUAAAAAUAUUAAAAAAGGAAAAUUUUAAAAAUAAAAAAAUUAUUUGUUGAAUUUUUUUGCAAAAAACAAAUUAAUCGUUUAAAUAUGACUAACAUCUCACUUAUCAUUACAAUUAACAUUUAUAUAAACAACAUUUAUAUAAUAUUAUACUUUAAAAUUAGGAAAUAAAACUCCAUAAAUAAUUAAUACAAUAUAUUCCUUUCCCGUGCAAUGAAAAAAAAAAAUUGGUAAAAGUAUAAACUUUUACAAGUGGCACUAUAACGCACUUAAUGAGUGUUUAUUGGAACAAAAAUGUCCAAAUUGUUCAGUUGGCCCUCAAACAAAUCUAUACUUAAUACAUUUUAAAGGAACACAAAAAGAAAAUUUUGACACUUCUCACUGCUACAAUUUUUUCAAGAAAAAAAAAAUAUUUUAUUGAAAGCAAAAACUUUUACACGUGGCACUUCCGGAGUGUGGGUGUGUCUUCCUACACUCCUAAUUUUUUAAAAUACCAAAAUUAGCUUUCUUAUUUUUAUUUGAAAAGGUACCGUUGUGAGGUUUAUAGGUGUUCGAAAUAUGGAUUUUGAAAAAUUUAUUGAUUGAUGAAUUUUGAAUGAAUUUUUUUGACUUAUGGAUUGUUGGAUCUGGAAUGUAUUUUUUGACUUAUGGAUUGGUGGAUCCGGAAUGUAUUUUUUGACUUAUGAAUUGGUAGAUUCAUAAUGUAUUUUUUGACUUAUGGAUUGAUGAAAAUGAAAUGCAUUUUCAACUUAUGUUAUUGGUGGAUCCGGAAUGUAUUUUUUGACUUUUGAUGUUUGGUUGUGGUUUUCAAUAAUUUGUUAGAAUUUUAUGAUAAGAUGUAAAUUUGUAGAAGUAUGGACAAUGAAAAAGGAUUUGUUGAACUUCAUUAUUAAUCAAUUUUAAGACUCAUUGAAAAACAUAAACAUAAACAUUCUUAUGCAAUCACCAAAGUUUGAUCUUCAUAUGUAGUUAUGACAUUGUAAUCGAAUUCAUAAAUUAAUAUGUAAAUGUACAUUGUGGCUAUUAGAAAUGCGGAAGAACAAAUUCACUCACGAUUGUGUAAGAAACUAAUUUCAUUACCCUUUAAAAUAAUAAUGUAAACAAUGUGUAGCUUCAUCAAAUUACAAAACAGAAAUGCAACUAAAAACAUAUAAAAGGGUCACAUUGUUUGUGGACAUACACACACAUCAUACAAAAGGGUCACAUGGUUUUCAUAAGUUAUCAUCAAUGACCCAUCCACUUUAAUAUUAUAUUUCGGGUAUUUCUUCUACACCCUUUCAAUAUUCUACUCUACAAAUUCAGUGAAUGAGUUACUAUUGACAACUUAUUGAUUUAUGAAUUUGAUUACAACCACAUAAUUAUAUAUGAAAAGCAAGAUUAGCAAUUUGAAAACAUGUUUAUGUUUUCCAAUGAGUCUUAAAAUUGAUUAACACUGGAGUUCAACAAAUUUUUCAGUAUUGUCUAUAUUUCUACCAACUAACAUUUUACCAUGAAAUUCUAACAAAUUAUUAAAAACUACAAAACAUCAAAAAUAAAAAAAUGCAUUCUGAAUCUACCAAUCCAUAAGUCAAAAAAUACAUUUCAAAUGACCCAAUUCAUAAGUAAAAGAAAAUGCAUUCCAAUACACUAAUCCAUAAAUAUCCCAAAACUGCCACAAUUUUUAAAAAAAAAAUACUAAAUGGAGAAACUUUUACGCAUCAUGUCAUGAGAUAUUUUUCCAAUGUUUAUUCAAAUAAAAAGAAUCCAAAUUCCGAAACUGAACUAAAAACAAAUGAGCACAAAUUAAAGUAUUUAUUAUUAAUUAAUAUAUUAAUAAUACUUCAUACAUAAUUAAUAUCAUGUAUUUCUAAUGAAAAUAAAAAGAUAUUUUCACGAUUUAAGCACAAGUUAUAAUAUAAACUUACACGUGUCCAGAACUUGAAUUUGACGUUUUGCACAUGAGAAGUGUCUCAUAUAUAUUAUUUUAGUCUUCAAUAACUUAGCUCGAGAAAUACAUGGGUAAUAAAAAAAUGAAACAAAUAUGAAAUGCUAUUUCUUCUUUUUCUAUAAGUGAACACUUUAUCCAAACACAACAACCAUCUUCAACAAUCUAAGACCUAAGAACACAACAAUGGUUGUUGUUCCUCUUAGAUUCUUGUUCCUUCUCUCUCUCACUCUCUUCUCCACACUCCCAUUUCAUCUUCACGCAUCAUUCUCUCAUCAGUCCCACAUCAAACUUCCCUCACAGACUCACCAAUCUUCGCAGAAGCAGACCCACAUCCACUUCUUCUACCAUGAUCUUCGAACCGCCAACAACCCCUCCAUCGUGCAGAUCGUCGACACCCCCAAGAACGUCCCCAACGGCUUCGGCACCACUUUCGUCAUGGACGAUCCCAUGACGGAAGGCCCGGAGCUCAGCUCCAAGCCCGUUGGGAGGGCCCAGGGGCUCUUUGGCCUGGCCUCUCUCAACGAUCUGGGCACCUUCAUGCUCAUCAACUUCGCUUUCAAGGAAGGGGACUACGCUGGAAGCUCAUUGAGCAUGCUCGGGAGGAACCCCAUAGCGGAGCAGAACAGAGAGAUGCCCAUCGUUGGUGGCACUGGCGUCUUCAGAUUCGCCACUGGCUAUGCUAUAGCCAACAGUGUCGAACACCUUUCUACCCCUGAGCAUUUUGUGGUGGAGUACAAUCUCACUGUGCGCCAUGGCUAAUGUCGUCUACCAGAUUUGUUGUGGGUUUUGGGAUUCAUCAUGCAUCUGGGUUUCAUCUAGAACAAAAAAAGUUGAAUUUUUUUUGGAGUUUCAGUAAG
rnacentral:lncRNA from 1 species